UAGAACUCUCAUCUAGACUUACUCGCUAAGGAGUUGGAACGAUUAUCAGCGAAAUUUCAAGGCAAAGGAGUCCUAAAAGUAGCAUAUAGUCCAUCUAAAAAUAGAAACGUGAGUUAAUAAUGAUCAUCAUCAGCUCACUAUACGUCCC